AUUGAACGCUGGCGGCAUGCCUUACACAUGCAAGUCGAACGGUAACAGGCCGCAAGGUGCUGACGAGUGGCGAACGGGUGAGUAAUACAUCGGAACGUGCCCGAGAGUGGGGGAUAACGGAGCGAAAGCUUUGCUAAUACCGCAUACGAUCUACGGAUGAAAGCAGGGGACCGCAAGGCCUUGCGCUCAUGGAGCGGCCGAUGGCAGAUUAGGUAGUUGGUGGGAUAAAAGCUUACCAAGCCGACGAUCUGUAGCUGGUCUGAGAGGACGACCAGCCACACUGGGACUGAGACACGGCCCAGACUCCUACGGGAGGCAGCAGUGGGGAAUUUUGGACAAUGGGCGAAAGCCUGAUCCAGCCAUGCCGCGUGCAGGAUGAAGGCCUUCGGUUGUAAACUGCUUUUGUACGGUAACGAAAAGACUCUGGUUAAUACCUGGGGUCCAUGACGGUACCGUAAGAAUAAGCACCGGCUAACUACGUGCCAGCAGCCG
rnacentral:rRNA from 1 species